rnacentral:tRNA from 1 species
GAGGGUAUAGCUCAAGCAGUAGAGUGCCUGCUUAGCAUGCAUGAGGUCCUGGGUUUAAUCCCCAGUACUUCCU